rnacentral:rRNA from 1 species
UACGAAGGGGGCUAGCGUUGUUCGGAAUUACUGGGCGUAAAGCGCGCGUAGGCGGUGAUCUUUGUCGGAGGUGAAAGCCCGGGGCUCAACUCCGGAAUUGCCUUUGAAACGGGAUCGCUUGAGUCCGAGAGAGGAUGGCGGAAUUCCUAGUGUAGAGGUGAAAUUCGUAGAUAUUAGGAAGAACACCGGUGGCGAAGGCGGCCAUCUGGCUCGGUACUGACGCUCAGGCGCGAAAGCGUGGGGAGCAAACAGG